rnacentral:rRNA from 1 species
UGGGGAAUUUUGGACAAUGGGCGAAAGCCUGAUCCAGCAAUGCCGCGUGCGUGAAGAAGGCCUUCGGGUUGUAAAGCACUUUUGUCCGGAAAGAAAUCCUUGGCUCUAAUACAGUCGGGGGAUGACGGUACCGGAAGAAUAAGCACCGGCUAACUACGUGCCAGCAGCCGCGGUAAUACGUAGGGUGCAAGCGUUAAUCGGAAUUACUGGGCGUAAAGCGUGCGCAGGCGGUUUGCUAAGACCGAUGUGAAAUCCCCGGGCUCAACCUGGGAACUGCAUUGGUGACUGGCAGGCUAGAGUAUGGCAGAGGGGGGUAGAAUUCCACGUGUAGCAGUGAAAUGCGUAGAGAUGUGGAGGAAUACCGAUGGCGAAGGCAGCCCCCUGGGCCAAUACUGACGCUCAUGCACGAAAGCGUGGGGAGCAAAACAGGAUUAGAUACCCUGGUAGUCCACGCCCUAAAACGAUGUCAACUAGUUGUUGGGGAUUCAUUUCCUUAGUAACGUAGCUAACGCGUGAAGUUGACCGCCUGGGGAGUACGGUCGCAAGAUUAAAACUCAAAGGAAUUGACGGGGUCAUAGCUGUUUCCU